rnacentral:misc_RNA from 1 species
GAAAUGCGAUAAGUAAUGUGAAUUGCAGAAUUCAGUGAAUCAUCGAAUCUUUGAACGCACCUUGCGCCCUUUGGUAUUCCGAAGGGCAUGCCUGUUUGAGUGUCAUGAAACCUCACCCCACCCGGGUUUUUUGCCCGAGUGGUCGGUGGAUUGGGCGCCUGCCGUCAAUGGCUCGCCUGAAAAGCAUAAGCGCCUUGGAUGUAAUACGUUUCAUCCUUAUGGGUGGCUGACAACCCCACAUACUCAUGAUCUGGCCUCAAAUCAGGUAGGGCUACCCGCUGAACUUAAGC